CCUGUAAGUUGUGUUUCUUAAUUUUUUAAUACCUUUAGAUAAGAGUGUAUCGUGUAAUUUAUUUUCUAAUAUAAAUCUGGACAUAAAAUAAGGAUGAAGUACUUCAAGAGUUCUACCCAUAUGUUUUCUUGUAGACUCAUAGUUCUAUCAUUUUGAAUGGGGACAAAAAUGACUUAUGUUCUUUUUUUCCUGACAUAAUAAACCCUCCUUACUAUUUUUAUCAUAAGAUGUUCAAGAUUUAUCUUUAAUAGAAAAGUGAAUGUUAUAUAGACAACUCUUCGUGUUUUCUGUUCUCUCUGAAAUCUUUUAUCUUUAGAAGACAGAAUCAAUGUGGAAUUUCAGAAUGGGUCCAUGGCAUGUCGUCUUACAGUGCAGAGAGAUAAUCUCUGAGAUGAACAUCUGCUAGGCUAAUAAACCUAAGUGAAAGUGCUGCUAUACUUCUGUGCUCAUGUCUGGUCUCCUGGAAUAAAAUGAAAGUCACAAGUAUUAAGAUGGAUACCAGUGGCUAAUCAUUUGUCAAAUAAGAGUUCAGAUUGGGAAAGCUGCAUAAAGGAAUUGAGAUUAUUCAUUCACAAGAAUACCUUCAUUUUAUAUCAAAUGAAAAACUUCCUAAGAAGGAUUAGGUAACUCCCAUUUUAUACUGCCAUAAGCUUAAUUGUGAAGAAAACGAAUAGUAAAUAAACACUUUGGGAUUAGAUAAAAAAUCAGUAUUUUUGUCUUGGGUGUCAAUUUUUUAUAUUGCAAAAAUACUUUCUAACUUUUAGAUGAUGUCAUUAUGAGAGUAAAUCUUCGGUUAGAUAAAGAAAUUGUGAAAGUUAUUCAUAGAUUUGCCAUAUCUGCUUGCUCAAUAAUAUAGUUUAUAAUUUCUACUUUUUGAAAGUUGACAUUUUGACAGCAAUACUAAUAAUAAAAUACUUAACUUUAAUAUAUUAAAUGCCAGAUUUAUCUUUCAAAAAGUUAAACAGCACUGUCAUUGGACCAGUCCUUUGUAGAUAGCCUAUUUCU
rnacentral:lncRNA from 1 species